GGUCUGAUUAUGGCUCAGAUCUGAACGCUGGCGGAUGUUUACACAUGCAAGUCGAACGGCAGCACGGACUUUUCGGUCUGGUGGCGAGUGGCGAACGGGUGAGUAAUGUAUCGGAACGUGCCUAGUAGCGGGGGAUAACUACGCGAAAGUUGCAUAAUAAUGCACAAUAGCCCUUCGGGGGAAAGCGGGGACCUUCGGGCCUCGCACUAUUAGAGCGGCCGAUAUCGGAUUAGCUAGUUGGUGGGGUAACGGCUCACCAAGGCGACGAUCCGCUGGUUUGAGAGGACGACCAGCCAUUACUGGGACUGAGACACGGCCCAGACUCCUACGGGAGGCAGCAGUGGGAAUAUUGGACAAUGGGGAAACCCGAUCCAGCCAUCCCGGCGUGUGCGAUGAAGGCCUUCGGGUUGUAAAGCACUUUUGGCAGGAGUUGUUCGGCAUAUAAUACCCCGUGCAACUGACGGUACUCGCAGAAUAAGCACCGGCUAACUACGUGCCGGCAGCCGCGGUAAUACGUAGGGUGCAAGCGUUAAUCGGAAUUCAUCUCCCUGACACACUCUAGCUCGGUAGUUAAAAAUGCAGUUCCAAAGUUGCUUCUGGGAUUUCACAUCUUCUUCCGAACCGCCUGCGCACGCUUUACGCCCAGUACUGGAUUAACGCUUGCACCCUACGUAUUACCGCGGCUGCCGGCACGUAGUUAGCCGGUGCUUUGUCUGUGGCAUUGUCAGUUGGGCCGGGGUAAUAUCCCGCGCCGUUUCUUUCCUGCCAAAAGUGCUUUACAACCUGAAGGCCUCAUCGCACACGCGGGAUGGCUGGAUCAGGGUUUCCCCCAUUGUCCGGGGCACCCCCACCGCUGCCCCGGAGUCUGGCCGUCCCGCGUCCAGUGUGGCUGGUCGUCCUCUAAACCAGCUACGGACGUCGCCUUGGUGAGCCGUUACCCCACCAACUAGCUAAUCCGAUAUCGGCCGCUCUAAUAGUGCGAGGCCCGAAGGUCCCCCGCUUUCCCCGCGCGUAUGUUAGCUACGCUUUCGCGGUUAUCCCCCGCUACUAGGCACGUUCCGAUACAUUACUCACCCGUUCGCCACUCGCCACCAGACCGAAGUCCGUGCUGCCGUUCGACUUGCAUGUGUAAAGCAUCCCGCCAGCGUUCAAUCUGAGCUAUAAUCGAACC
rnacentral:misc_RNA from 1 species